rnacentral:rRNA from 1 species
CCUAAAGAGUAACGGAGGAGCACGAAGGUUGGCUAAUCCUGGUCGGACAUCAGGAGGUUAGUGCAAUGGCAUAAGCCAGCUUGACUGCGAGCGUGACGGCGCGAGCAGGUGCGAAAGCAGGUCAUAGUGAUCCGGUGGUUCUGAAUGGAAGGGCCAUCGCUCAACGGAUAAAAGGUACUCCGGGGAUAACAGGCUGAUACCGCCCAAGAGUUCAUAUCGACGGCGGUGUUUGGCACCUCGAUGUCGGCUCAUCACAUCCUGGGGCUGAAGUAGGUCCCAAGGGUAUGGCUGUUCGCCAUUUAAAGUGGUACGCGAGCUGGGUUUAGAACGUCGUGAGACAGUUCGGUCCCUAUCUGCCGUGGGCGCUGGAGAACUGAGGGGGGCUGCUCCUAGUACGAGAGGACCGGAGUGGACGCAUCACUGGUGUUCGGGUUGUCAUGCCAAUGGCACUGCCCGGUAGCUAAAUGCGGAAGAGAUAAGUGCUGAAAGCAUCUAAGCACGAAACUUGCCCCGA